UUGAAACCAAUUCAGGUUGCAUCCCACCUCUCACCUAGACUCAGCUGGUAUAGGCUCCAGACCACCCAUAACCCUUUUGGGGAUAAGCGGUACAGAACCUGAAUGUAUGACUAAAAUAUGACAGCAGAUUUUGGACCUCUUCUGUUGCGUAUUCAUGCUUGAGAAUAUGUAUACCUCUCCGAGUGUCAACCGUGAUAUUCAGUGCUGCUGAAUAUCUGCAUUGGUGUCCACAAGCCUGCCUUCACACAACACAUUUCGCUACAGUUCUCAUCGGUUCUGGAGGUUUGCAGGCUGCAAUCAAAAUGAUGCGAGGGAACAUAGUUUGCGAGCGACCUUAUGCUCCCUGUCUGCAUCAGCGUGUUUGACAAAAGGACGUCAGUUGUGCCAGCGACAACCCCGUCCAUGUCAGCAUUGUUGUGAACAAUACGAGUUUAUGCGCUGCAAUUAGGUUCAAAGCGGCAAUACCCACGAAUGUGACACGGUCUCGGUAUGUGGGAAAAGUAAGCAUUAUUUUCACUUUGAUGUCAACUUUAAUACAUUUCUUUAGAUAAUAUGCAUCCAUAGCAAUUAUAGCAUGCUGUAGAGUAGCCACUAGUUAAAAUCCAUUCAUCCAUUUUCUGGAGCACUUAUCCUCACUUUGGUCAUAGGCGUGAUGGAUCCUCUCCCAGCUGACUCUGGGUGAGAGACGGGUUACAUGCUGUAAACCCUGAACUGGUCGCCAGCAAAUCGCGUGAUGGAUAUUAACAAAUGAACCAUUCACACUCACAUUUACACCUACGGGUAGUUUAGAGACUUCAAUUAGCCCAACAUGCGUGUUUUAGUAUGUUGUAGGAAACCGGAGCACCUGAAGAAAACCUGGACAGGCACGAGGAGAACAUGCAAAGUACACACAGGCGACGCAAAACCAGAUUUGAACACUAGUCCUCAAAACGGUUGGGUCAUGGGGGAAGUAGCUUCGGGACGGAUACCCAGACUUCCCUUUCCCCAGCCACUUCUUCCAGCUCUUCCGGAGGGAUCCUGAUGCGUUCCCUAGCCAACCGAGAGACAGUCUAUCCAGCGUGUCCUGGGUCGUUCUCGGGGUCUCUUUCGGGUGGAACAUGCCCGGAACACCUCAUCAGGGAGGCGUCCGGGAGGCAUCCGAAUCAGAUGCCCCAGCCACCUCAUCUGUGUCCGCUCAAUGCGGAGGACCAACGGCUUAACACCGAGCCCCUCCCGGAUGACCGAGCUUCUCAACCUAUCUCUAAGGGCGAUGUGGAAACUCAUUUCGGCCCCUUGUAUCUGGAAUCUUGUCCUUUCAGUCACGACCCACAGCUCGUGCCCCUAGGUGAAGAUAGGAACAUAAUCGACUGGUAAAUUGAUAUCUCUGCCUUUCGACUUAGCUCCUUCUUUACCACAACGAGCCGAUACAAAGUCCGCAUCACUGCAGACGCUGCACCGAUCCGUCUGUCGAUCUCCCGCUCCAUUCUUCCAUCACUCGUGAACAAGACCCCAAGAUACUUGAACUCCUCCAACUUGAGACAGGAUCUCAUCCCCGACCUAGAGAGGGUACGCCACCCUUUUCCGACUGAGGACCAUCGUCUCAGAUUUGGAGGUUCUGAUUCUCAUCCUAUCCGCUUCACACUUGGCGUAGAGGGUGUCCGGUUUGGUGGCCUCAGCGUCGCGUCUCUGCUAUUUGCAGAGGAUGUGGUUCUGUUGGCUUCAUCAAGCCAUUAUCUCCAGCUCUUCCUGGAGCGAUUCGCACCCUGCCGGCAAAAUAUUAAACACAUACGAUGUAGUGACGUAUGUUCUGAGCCUUGAGGGUAUUUCCUAGACACUGCGGCCUUUAAAUUUGUUUCCAUUUGGACUUAAUUUUGAUUAAUGAAUUAAUUACAGAAAAAUUGUAAUUACAUUGCAAUAUCAAUGUCCUAAUUCCUGGCAUGCCAAUAACAUUGAUACAAAAGAUGCACCGAGUGACAUGAGCGCACAAGAACGUACAAUACAAAACAUUGCAGCAAGCACUUAGCACCAGAGCUGACAUUAGUGUCAAGAGUUCUAGCGCGGCCAAGGCUAAUUUGUCCUGAUGAUUUAAAGAAAAAGAUUUAUUGUGAGCGUAAUGGUUCCGUUAUGAAAUAAGAGUUUAGCAAACAGGUCUGGCCUUCAUUACGGUUUUGGGCAAUUAAAGGGAUUUAGGACAGUAAAGGGUUUCUUUUCUUUAUAUAUUUUUUUUACCUUUUUAGAUUAUAGAGGGAACAGUUUACUUUGGUCGAGGAUUUUUUUUAUGGUUUUAUAUCGCUGCGAAAACAAAAUCAAAUGUGUUUCCAAGAAAGUGUUUGGGUUUAUGAGUCAGUUCAAAGUUUGAAUAGCUAGCUCAAAUUUAUGAGUUACCGCCUUGUGAAUAUAUUUCGAUCAAUCCACUUCCUGUAUUUCACCGAUAAAAAGCACGCACCAAUCUAUUUGUGUGAGCAAUGUUCUACAGAUAAAUUCAUAUUUUUUUAAAUUUAUAUGUCUACAUAUGCAUCUAUUUGCCGUUUGUAUUGAAAAACAUUGCCGGUGGCGUCAACAUGUUUCUAUUCAAUCAAAAUGGAAAGAAGUGUGAUAAAUAAUUGCAAUGCCUCAUCGAGCCCAUCACUAUUUUCAAUAGCACCGAACUGUGUCAAGCAUAAAAGAUGUGUCAAGGCUGAAGGCCCGUCACAUCCAUAAUAAUAUUUACAGCCUAUGAACAGAUAAGAUCCGAAUAGCUAAAGAUGUAGAACUUUAAAAAAAAAACAUGUUUUUUAUCAUUUCUAUUUGCAGAGUGGAACCAGUUGACUAGUCUUUUGUAUUCUGGUGUGCAGCCACUGCGGGUUUGACAUCUGACCUAAUUUUCCUUCACUCUUUGACCCCCUUCAAUGACAGUGAUGCAGCAGAUAAAAAAAAAAAGUCUGUGUAUGUUGUUUUUUUAUUUUUUUUGUUCGCCCAGCAGUGAUCUUACUGUUCUAUCACUACUAUGACGCCAAUACUGCACCUAAGUAUUAAAGGAUUAUCGCGGUGUUUGA